UACAGAGGUCACAAGCGUUAUCCGGAUUUAUUGGGCGUAAAGCGUCUCGUAGGCGGUUUGGAAAGUUGUUUUUCAAAGACCAGGGCUCAACCUCGGGAAGGGAGACAAUACUAACAGACUUGGUUAUUGGUGGGGCAUCUGGAACUGAUAGUGUAGUAGUGAAAUACGUUGAUAUUAUCAGGAACUCCAAGGGCGAAGGCAGGAUGCUAACCAAUUAACGACGCUGAGGAACGACAGCUAGGGGAGCGAAAGGG
rnacentral:rRNA from 1 species